rnacentral:rRNA from 1 species
GUAGGGAAUAUUGGGCAAUGGUCGGAAGACUGACCCAGCAAUGCCGCGUGCAGGAAGAAUGCCUUCGGGUUGUAAACUGCUUUUGUACGGAACGAAACGGUCCGGGUUAAUACCCUGGGCUAAUGACGGUACCGUAAGAAUAAGCACCGGCUAACUACGUGCCAGCAGCCGCGGUAAUACGAAGGGUGCAAGCGUUAUCCGGAUUCAUUGGGUUUAAAGGGUGCGUAGGCGGAGCGUUAAGUCAGUGGUGAAAUCCUGCAGCUUAACUGUAGACUUGCCAUUGAUACUGGCGCUCUUGAGUGCGCUUGAAGUGGGAGGAAUGUGCCGUGUAGCGGUGAAAUGCUUAGAUAUGGCACAGAACACCAAUUGCGAAGGCAGCUCACUAAGGCGAUACUGACGCUGAGGCACGAAAGCGUGGGGAUCGAACAGGAUUAGAUACCCUUGUAGUCC